AUCGGCUUCUAGGGUUUCUGGUGGUUUAACCUAGGGUUCUACUGCUAUCCGGUGGCUCGAUUCUCACUCAGUGCAUGUUUUGAUUCCUUUCCGACAUUCCUGACCACAUUUCCAGUAAGGAUUUCGAAGGUUACACCUAGGGUUUUGUACCUAGGGUUUUCUCGGUUGUUUAAAGGCUGAACUUCUCCGAUCGCGAAGAAGGAGGGUAACUCUGUCCUUAUCUUCGGUAUUAUAUGUGAUUA
rnacentral:lncRNA from 1 species